GGAGAGGUGGCAGAGUGGUUUAAUGCGUAGCAUUGGAAAUGCUAUUUUUUUUUAUAAAAAACAGGGGUUCAAAUCCCCUCCUCUCCU
rnacentral:tRNA from 1 species